rnacentral:rRNA from 1 species
UCGAGGAUAUUUAGCAAUGCCGGAAACGGUGACUAUGCGACGCCGCGUGUGUGAUGAAGGUCUUCGGAUUGUAAAACACUGUCGGCCGGGAGGAAUCUCGGGUGGCUUAAUAAGCCAGCCGGGUGACAGUACCGGCAAAGGAAGCCACGGCUAACUCCGUGCCAGCAGCCGCGGUAAUACGGAGGUGGCAGGCGUUACUCGGAUUGAUUGGGUGUAAAGGGUGUGUAGGUGGUGGACUAAGUCGAAUGUGAAAUCCCUUGGCUUAACCAAGGAACUGCAUUCGAAACUGAUCCGCUUGAGCGUCAGAGAGGAAGAUGGAAUUCACGGUGUAACAGUGAAAUGUGUAGAUAUCGUGAGGAACACCAGUGGCGAAGGCGAUCUUCUGGCUGACUGCUGACAC